CCAUGAACUCUCCAGUCUGGCUUCAUCUGCUGUCUGAAUGCAGACAGGUUGUUGUAGCAGAGCACCGCUGCAUCCAACGCAUUGAUUCCCUCCCAGGGGUAGGCGGAGGCAUGACACGCUUUACCAUGAUACUUUAUAGUUACACUAGCAUGACACAAACACACAUCAGUAUGGACAUAU